UUUUUUUUUUUUUUUUUUGUCUUUUCAUUAAUUGGGAUAGAUGGUUAUUACAUGACUUUAUGCUUAAUCAUGCUUCCGAUCAUAGGAUGAAGAAAUAUCAUGGGAUAUGGAAAACCAAAAUUGACUCUAUUUAUGCCCAUCAAAUUAAAUGGAUGUUGAAAAAGAUACAUAUAACAAGGCAAAUACUCAUGAUGGUUUAUUUAUACAUGCAGUGGCUGUUAAAUCAUCCCAAAUUUAUCAACAAUCGCCUUUACAUUGCCGGUGACUCCUAUGGAGGGAAAAUUGCUCCCAUGGUCGUUUUAGAAAUAACAAAAGGUGGUAAUCCUGAUUCAUGUUUAGAUAGUUAUAUUUAGAAAGAUUUGCUUCCACCAUGCUAUAUAUAUCACCGUGUGUAGGUAAUGAGGCUGGAUUGACGCCGCAUAUGUCAAUCGAGGUGUGACUCCCUUGAACACAAUUUUUUUUUUUCAUUAUUAGCCAUUUAGUCUUGCUAAGAUUUCAUAUAAUAUGUUGAAACAAUAAUGUUGUACUAUGUUCUUCCAAAAUGUUGAAAAAGGGAUACUUGAUUGGCAACCCUGCAAUGAAUGUUCCGAAGGAUAUGAAUUGGAGAGUCCCAUAUGCUCAUCUUCUGGCGCUCAUAUCAGAUGAGUAUUAUGAGGUGGUGCUCAAGUCCCUUGAUUGUUUUUGUUAACACUAGUUUAAAGCUGAAAUUAGAAAGAUUAAUGUUAUGUUAUCCAAAUUAUGUUAUUUCCCAAGAUACAAAUACUUAUACUAACCUUGCUCAAUUUUUCCUUUCUAUACUAAACCUAACCAAUGGGAUAUUGGGCUCUUUUGGAAUUGAAAAGGCGGAAGGAAUAUAAGUUUUCCCAUGUUAAUUCAAGGAUUUGGACCUGCUGCUAUUUGAUGCAUUUGUCUUUUUUUCAACUUUCUCAAGUUUGAAUUCUCAGACUUCUUACUUUUCAUACUGUAAAUUUACUAUCAAAUCAUGGACUAAAACUGAGAUUACAUGAAUUUCAGCGGGCAAAAAGUAGCUGUGAUGGGGAAUACAUGAAUCCAAACCCGAACAAUACAGAAUGCCAGUUUGCUCUUCAGCUUAUUAAACAGGUAACAGCCUUACAGCUGCAUUAGCAUUGCUGCUGAGUGCUGACUAACCAGCAUCUUCCAUUAUGUUAUAGAACACCGAGAUUCAAUUAAAGCAAUUCUUUUUCCUACUGCAGUGUACCAGCGAUAUAUGCCUUUCUCAUAUUUUGGAACCAAUAUGCAAAUUUAGAGCACCAAAACUACAUGGACUCGAAUGGGAUCUAACAUAUUUUGAAGAAGAUCCAAAUGACAUUCUCCUCCUCUCAUCCGAUCAAGAAAAUCCAAAGUGUCGCGUAACUUCUUCCUCCUCCUCGUUUGAAAUUUAUAUACUAACUUUUACACAUUAUUUUUACUUUAUAGCAUGCUAUAUAUCUUUCCCUGAUUUUAAAUAUUUGCUAAAAUCAACUUCCAUUGGCAUGCAGUUUACUGAUUAUGUGCUGUCCUGUGUAUGGAUGAACAACCCAAGUGUCCGAGAAGCUCUUCAAAUUCGAAAAGUAAGUUGGUCACGAGGAGGAAAAGCAGGCGUCAAUCCUUAAAUGUUUUUUAAGUUGUGCCAUCUAAUCUUGUUUUCUAACCAAUUUUUUCUGUUCAAUUGCAAGGGCACAAAGGAAAAAUGGAAAAGGUGCAAUGGGAGCUUACCAAUAUCAUAUGACCAAGAUGUGACAAGUGUGUUUGACCAUCAUCAGGUUCUUAGCACAAAAGGAUAUCAAGCUCUAGUGUACAGGUUAAGGAUGGGAUAUCUGCUGCCUCCUUAUAUUUGUCACGCUCUUGAAUCAUCAUGCAUUUCUUGUUUUGUCUUGUCAUCAUUAGCCAAUUGAAUAGCUCAUCAACAAUAUACUUCAAUUGCAAUGAAAAAUAUAGAAAAUAUAUAUAUAUAUAUAUAUAUAUAUCAAUCAGCAGUUCAGCACAGAUUCAUUGGCAGAGCAGGAAAUUUUAUUGAUCAUGAAUUAGAUGGUUAAUUUGCAAGAUUCCAAGUACUUGAUGCAAAAACUAAUUGAGCAUCUAUCAAUGAAGUUUGUGAAAAGGCCCAAAAUUUUAUUCCUUUAAGAAGUAGGGACUAGGAAAUGCAUUUUGCACUCAAUUGUCCAUUUUGAUCAGUCAGUCCACCUACAUCCCUACUUCUCCUGCAGUGGUGAUCAUGAUAUGAUGAUUCCCUACAUUGGCACACUCCAAUGGAUACGUGAUCUGAAUCUUACUCUUGAGGAGGAUUGGCGACCUUGGUUUCUCAAUGGUCAAAUUGCAGGGUUCGUUUUCAAAUUUUUAGCUGUAUUUAACAGUUGUUUUCUUUUUUUCCUCAAAAUUUUCCCCACUAAGAGCCAAUGCAUGAGAUUUAUAAGUAACCAAAUAUUCAAGAACUUGUCCCUUUCAGGUACACAUUGAAGUACCAGUUCCAGGAAGAUCAGUGCUAUCUCACGUUUGCAACUGUCAAGGCAAGACAAACUCUUUGGCCAUGAGUCUUUUUCCUCAGAAUAUGCAAGGAAACAUGAAACAAGUUAACAUAUUACUACGUUUGUUAUAUAUUCUCAGGGUGGAGGUCACACUGCUCCCGAAUACAAGCCAAAAGAAUGUUUUGCCAUGAUCGACCGAUGGUUCUCUUAUUAUCCUUUGUAGAUCAAGAAAGAAAGGCUUCAAGAGAAUAUUUCUCUACAGUUACCAGAAAGAUCCAAUUCAAGAUUCCAAUUUUAUUAUUUCAAUCAUCACAGAAAAUACUAGUAAGAUGACCAUUUGCAAAAUUCUUUCUAUGUUAAUAAGGCUCAACAUUUUCACCUUCAGUGAUGUAAAAGAGUAAAAUACUCUCGUUUGGUCUAGAAUUUGUCAGUUCCGGGUGGAAUGAGCCAAGACACACUAUCAACUAGGAAAUUGAUGAUUGAAAGGAAGUAGUAUGCGAUAAAGAGUAGUAACUUGUAAACCUCCUAUCCAUGUCUACUAAUCUUUACCCGUGAGUUUGGUACUACCCCAAUUUCCAUCUCUUCCAUAUCCGAUGGAAUAUAAAGAAAUCGCUUUAUCAUCCAACCAGAUGUCCUUAAGACAUCCACAACGCUAUUACACAUUGUGGAGUGUAAUCCACAUGUCACGUCAGCAUUACAUUAUCUCCUCUUUUAUUAUACUUUCACUCACAAUGGAUUACACUUAGCAUGGGUCCACAAUUACAUCAAAUAUUUAUUUUAAUAAUGCAUAACUCAUAUCCCAUAAAUAAAUAAAGUAAUUUUUAAAAAUAAUUUUGUUAUUUUUAAAAAAUAAAGUACUAACUUUCAUUAAAUUUUUUACCUUUUGAAUUUUUUAUUUUCUAAAAAUGAUAUUAUUAAUUUUUAAGUUUGAAUAAUAUAUCUUUUUCUAUCUCUCAAAAAUAAUAUAUUAUUAUUUUUUCAAAAAUAAUUAUGUAGAAAAUUACACAGCUAUUUGAUACCUCAAGUGCAAAUAUAUCAUAAUAAUCCAUAAUUAAUUAAUAAAAUACAAAUGUAAUUAGUUGAACUCCAUAACAUAAUAUUACAUAAUUUAAAUCAAAUAAAAUACAAAUAAUAACAAAAUGAAUACAAGUUUUAAGUCAUUUAAAAAUGAUUAUGGAUUCCACAACAUCAUGGUCCAAUGGGAGACCGUGUCAUGGAGCAGUGUAAUGGCGUUGUGGAUGCCCUUACACAGUUGAUGGAUCCACUCAUACGGUUACCCCAAUUUCUCUUCUGAUUUUCUUUUAUGCCUAGUUUGGGAGUUUAAAGAAGAUAAGAGAAGUAGAUAAAGUUUAGGUUAGAAAAACAUUGGAGAGAAGAGAAAGGAUAGGAACACUCUUCCAUCUUCUUGGAGAGUGGUGGAAGAGAAUAUGGAGAGAAAAAAAUUGAUAAUAUGAGUAUUAAAUAUUGGAGUUUGUCUUGAUGUACAAAUAUGCCAAUUCACAACCAGUAAAUAACUCAAUAUCGCUUUCCUAUAAUUUUUACCCCUUUCGGAGAGACAGUUUAAUUUCUUGAGCCAUUCAUCCUUCCAUUUCUUUACUUUUCUCUCUAUUUACACCUCUUCCUCUCUCUCUAUCUCUCUCUGCCCUUCGUUAGCAAGUUAAUAAAUUCUAAUAUCUCCUGAUAAUAUUCAAUGUCAAAAUUUUGAAAUCAAAUGCUAAAAUAAUCGGUGAAUAAAUUCUUAAUUUUCAAGGCUGAGUGGUUGGCAGCUUCAAGCGUUUGGAAAAUAAACAAAUUCUAAACUAGUUAAGAGGAGAAAAUAGUACGCAUCAAGGAGUACAUCCAAUUAACCGGAUUACACUGCAGUGCCUUCAAAUUUCUUAAAGCAACACACAAAUAUUAAAUUGUGCUACUUAGCAUUUGCCAAAUUAUUAGAAUAACGCCACUAAUAAUAGAGGCAAACAUAAGAGUCUAUUUAACGCCACAAAUCAUUGUUUGAGUGAUGGUAAUUACUCAGAGAAACAAUUAUACUGGAACAUUCAAAACCAAUCACUAAAUUGAGCACCCUCGUGUUGUUGAAACUUUACGGUUUAAUUUUUAUUAAUUCUUUAGAUUUGUAGCAUUGUUCUUUAGAUCUUAUUGUAUCUAUGUAUGUGUGAAGUAAUUUUUGUCAUUAGUGUAAAUUUAAUUUAAUGAAAAUAUGGUGUUUUAUCCAAAAAGAAAAAAAAAGAAGAAGAAUAAAUGAAUAUCUCAAAUCUUUGAACUCAAUUAAUUAAGCGUUUGGUAGUCCUAACUCCUAAAGCUAGUCGUCCACUUUCUAUCUUGAACUGCAAUAUUUCAUUUCUCUCCUUAAUAAUUGUGCUCAAGUACUAAACUUAUUUUCCAACCAACCAAAUCAAAUUAGAAGAGCUAACUUGACCAACCGGCCGAACAUAUAUACGAAACAAGGAAAUGGAAUUGCGUAAACAACCAGGCUAUUUGCUUCACUAUUUGCCCCAGGCCUGGACUAGCUUCUAGAGUUCUUUCACUCCUCCUCUGUCCUCACAGAAUUUGGUUCACAUGCAUGUGCAUGAGUUUGCAUUAACAGGCUUGAUACUUAAUUUACUUCUUCUUUUCCUUCUCUUUAACGUUGCAGAUGCACAAAACAUUGUGAAGUCCCUGCCAGGUUACCCAGGAGCAUUACCUUUCAAACUUGAAACUGGGUAAUCCAUCGUUUAAUCUCCUUCUUCUUCUCCUCCUUCAUCGUUUAAACUUGAUUGCAUUAAACUUGUGGUCAGAUAUGUUGGGGUGGGAGAAAAUGAUAGCGUGCAGCUGUUCUACUACUUCAUCGAGUCGGAGAGAGAUGUCAGCAUGGACCCUCUCGUGCUUUGGCUCACCGGUGGCCCCGGUUGUUCUGCUUUUUCCGGUCUUGUUUACGAAAUCGGUAUGCUCUCUGCUUUUUCCGGUCUGGUUUACAAAAUUGGUAUGGGUAUGCUCUCUUGAGUCUCGUUCCAACUUUUUUCCUCUUUUAGCAGGCGGGGAGCUAGACUUAAGAAACGGACAAGACUUGUGGAAAACGGACAAAAUCGAGAAACUGUUACGUUUAUUAGACAUUAGUGGGUGGGAUGAUUUAGUUUAGAUGAUGAUAAAAGAUUGGGAUAAUUCUGUUAAUUUCACUGAACUCUCUUGAAGUUUUUAAUAUUACAGUUAACUCUGUUGAUGAUAAACAAUGAUUAUAAUAAUAUUCAUAAUUUUUCAAAAGACAAGCCAUUGAUUAAAAAGGGAAAAGGUAACAGAAAAAAAAAUAAUUCUUCUUGACCAGACCAUAUAUUGUGGUCAAACUAUUUCAGUUAUAACCAUUAAAUUGUAACAUUCUAUCAUUCAAAUACACUAAUCAAGGUAGACGUCUCCUUCCUUCUAGCAUCAAAUAUGUUAUUGCUAUUGAUGAUGAUGGAAGCAAUCAUCUUUGCCAACAACCCAAUUAUUCAUAUUAUUGAGCAUAAAAAAGCUACUGGAUUACGGAAAAAUAUAAUUUGAUAGACUGUACUAAAAUUAUUAUCCCAAACUUGCACUUUUGUUGAUGUUUUGCCUUUUAAAAAAUUUUUAUGAUUAUUCAUACUAAGGAAAUUUAGAUGAGGGCAAUUUUGGGCAUUCAUAUACUUUUUUCCGUCUUACGUCGUCAAGAUGAAACCCAAACUUAUGUACUAAGAGAGGUAUGUGUAAUUUUCAAAACGUGAGGAGAGCUGUCUAAAAUUACUAGAAACCUCAAGGGAGCUUUCUGAAAUUAUCCUAAAAGAUUUGAACAAUAAUAGUUUAUUGACUACUAAGGUACUUUAUUUACCAUCCACUAAGCUGCAGCUACUUCUUUAAAUGUAGGUCCUUUGUCUUUUGAUGAUGAACGUUACAAUGGAAGCUUGCCUUCAUUGCAUGCAAAUCCUUAUGCCUGGACAAAGGUGCACAAUUUAUAUCAGAUCCAUUAAACUGCUCUCAACAUCUGUAUUGAAAUUUUAUUUGUAAUUUGCUGCUCAUGUGUUCAGCAGAUUGCCAGCAUUAUCCUUUUGGACUUGCCUGUUGGUACCGGAUUCUCGUAUGCAACUACUUCUCAAGGUUACUUCUCCUCCGACACUAAAUCAACGAAGGAUGCUUACCUUUUCCUGCAAAAGGUGACUUGAAAAAAUCUCCCAACCAUCAGUUGAUUUUUUAAUAAUUUUAGUGUAGCUAGCAUAUCAUAUCACUUUGGAGAAGAAAUAUCGCGGGAGGGACCGAUAUUAAUUGAUUCUCUUUUUAAUCUUUAAUUGAAUUGACACCCGAAAGAUGAAUAAAACUAUGAUGCUAAUCCAAUGCAGUGGCUGUUGAAUCACCCCAGAUUCAUGAAGAAUCGCCUCUACAUUGCUGGUGACUCCUACGCAGGGAAAAUUGUUCCAAUGGUUGUUUUAGAAAUAUCAAAUGGUGGUAAUGCGAUUAUUGUAAUAAGUUUUUCAUGAUGGAAGUAGCUUCCACCAUGCUCAAAAUGAAACUGAUCAUUACUCUGUUUAGGUAAUGAGGCUGGAUUGAAGCCACGGAUGUCAGUCGAGGUGAAUCCCUCAAAAUACACCUUUUUUUUAAAAUUUUUCGGUUUCAAUCAUUAGUUUGCUACACUUUAUGCUGGCUAUACUGAUAUUUGAUAAUUUUAAUUUCUGUGUUUUUCCAAAUCCUGAAAAAGGGAUACAUGGUUGGCAACCCACUAACGGAUUCUAGGAAGGAUGAGAACUGGAAAGUCCCUUACGCUCAUCGUCUGGGACUUAUAUCAGAUGAGUAUUACGAGGUUUUACUUUCUUCCUCAACUUUCACAAACUUCCUUUAACCGUUGUGUGCUUUAAUUUGCCUGUUCCACAGUCCCCAAAUGAUAGUAAAUGUGAUGUUUCAUUUCAUUUCAUCACAUAGAGAUCCCUCUUUUUUUUUGGGUGAAAAAUUGACUAGAUCAUUGAGGCUAGCUAUUUAAUUUCAGCGGGCUAAAAGUAGCUGUAAUGGGGAAUACAUCAAUCCAAGCCCAAAUAAUACAGAAUGCUUGUUUGCUCUUCACCUCAUUCAAGAGGUAAGGUGCAAAAUACACGAGUUCUGACUAUUAUUUAUUUGGCUUCAAUUCCGUUAGCAUCACGAGAUUACAGCAACUCCUUCCUAUGCAGUGUAUCAGUGGUAUAUACCCAGCUAACAUCUUGGAACCAAAAUGUCAACAUCUAGCAUCAAGAGAAGGACUCCAAUGGGAUCAAGGCUAUUUGGAAGAAGAUUCAAUUGAUAUUCUCCUCCCCUCAUUCGAUCAAGAAAAACCAAAGUGUCGGGUAACUUCUUUCUCCUUCCAUUUUUAUAUGCACAUUACGCAAUUUCUAAGAUUUUCUAAAACGUGAUCUCAUAUGUAGGAUGAUACUUAUGUCCUAAGCAGAGUUUGGAUGAACGACCCAACGGUCCAAGAAGCUCUUCAAAUUCGGGAAGUAAGUAAAUCAAAUGGGGGGAUAUCAUUAUCCUUGAUGUGUUUUGGUUGUACCUUCUGAUAUUGUAAAAUGACCAACUUUUCUCCCGUGCAAUUACAAGGGUACAAAAGAACAAUGGAGAAGGUGCAACAGAAGCAUAUCUUAUGAUAUGGAUGUUGCAAGUGUGUUCGACUAUCACCAGGUUCUUAUUAGGAAAGGAUAUCAGGCAUUAAUAUACAGGUUAAGUAUAUGUCCUCUUGCCUCUCCUGACUUGUUACAUUUUUUAAUCGUUUCUUGUUCUCUUUAGUUACAAAUUGAAGAUCCGAUCAACACAGUGCUUUUCUACAACAAGGACAAAAUGGACAAAGAUAUAGAUUCUUAAACAAAAUUUUCUAUAGUUCAACUAUCAUAGGAAAAUAUGCAUUUCGUAAAUUAGAUUAUCAGUUGGAGUAAAAUUAUAAGACCUGAUGGACCAAAUAAUUGAGAGUUUAUCUGAAUAAGGCCUAAUGAUUUGUUCUGAAAUUGCAGUUAUAAGUCCGGUUUUGAUCCCCAUUGUGUACCCUAUUUCUUUUGUUCCCCUGCAGUGGUGAUCAUGAUAUGAUGGUCCCUUACCUUGGAACACUUCAAUGGAUACGUGAUCUCAAUCUAACUGUUGAGGAUGAUUGGCGACCUUGGUUUGUCAAUGGUCAAAUUGCAGGGUCAGGUUUCAUUUCCACCUAUAUUCAACAGUUUCUUUGCAAUAUAUACCAAAAAUUGUGUGACCUAAGCUAACAGCAAUGCAAUAAUUUGUCCUUACAGCUACACACUGAAUUACCAAUUCAAUGAAGAUGUAUGCUGUUUCACAUUUGCAACAGUAAUGGUAAGAAAAUGUUAACCUAAUUCCUUCUUCGGAUAACGCACGAAAGCAUGGACAAAGUAAUACUUUUCUUCUUGUUUUCUCAGGGUGCAGGUCACACUGCUCCAGAAUACAAACCAAAAGAAUGUUUUGCCAUGAUUGACCGGUGGUUCACUAAUUAUCCCUUAUAGAUCGAGAUAAAAAAAAAAAAGAGUGUUCCUAGAGUUUGUAGGACUUACAAUCACAUCUAUGUAUUUUGUCCCAUUCACCUUAAGACUUGAUGUUGUAUCAAGCGUUUAAGUUGAGAUAUCAAUAUUUGUGAUUUCGUGAUAAGCUUUACCCAUUCCCUUUUGAAGUACACAAAAUGUGUAAAAUCCAAAUGUGAAUCGGCGGCCUUCUUUGCAGGCUGAUUAAUAGCAUCGUACCUCUUUUUUCAAAAAAAAAAAAAAAAAAAAAAUCAGUUGAAACCGUCAAAAAAUCGACCAAACGCAUGAACUGGUUGGAUAAUUUGACCUCGGUUUCCAAACUUUUCUUUCUUGUUUUUCUCAAACACAAUACAAGUGACCUAACUUGUAAAUCUUUCAUUUAUUAUCAGGAAUAAAAAAAUAUCGUUAAAUCACUCACAUCCUUAAACAAUCUAUAAAUCAAGGGACUUUUAAUUCCUAUCAUCUUAUCAAUUUAACAUGGGAGAUUCCAACUUGCAUUAGAAAGCCAUGUAGGCUUUUAAUCCCUAUCAUCUUAUCAAUUUAACAUGGGGAUUCCAACUUGCAUUAGAAAGCCAUAUUCCCUACGGAAAGCUCUCGAAUUGGGUAUAUUUUGGUUUAAUUUAGUUUUACAAUUAGUUUAAUAACUAAUUGUCUCUGCCAAAGUAUCUAUUAUUCGUAUCUUUCCUUGCUCAUCCUGAUAAAUUGCUGGUCUGAGGGUUCUUAUUAUGAGUUUUGUCUAGCAUCUUAUGCUUCCUGAAGAACUCCUGUUUGAGCAAUUAUAAGUUCUGGAAACGUUGUUACAUUCUGGAUUAUCAUUCAGGUGAUUAAAUGUGAUUUUGCGUUCAUCUUCUGGUUUCCCUUUUGCAGAACGCAUAUGACACCCUUUUCUUCAUUGUGGACCUGCAUGCGGUAUGUCCAUAUCUGUGGACUGUGAUUGUUGUUAUGUUGCUUUGAACUGCUGAUUAAUCACACUUUCAUUGUUUUUCUUGCUUCUACUGUGUUGUUUGGCAUUUGUUAAUCACUUGUUAUCUCCUGUAAUUUUUCUGAAGACCAUAACUCUUUGUGUUUACAUGUUUUCUGAACUCAUUUAUCCUUGAACAACCCAUCUGGUACAAGGAAGCACUGUUUCUGAAUAUCUGGUUGUAUUGAUAAGCAUGAAAAAUUAAUCAUAGAGAUAAUUUAAUGAAAUUUAAUCGGAAUAAAUAGCUGUGCAUUUUUUUUUUGUCCUUAGAGCUUGAUCAAAGAUAGUUUUUAUUGUGAAACUAGGCCUUAUAUCACAACGGUUUUCAAGUUUUUGUCCUGUCUCCUUGAACUUGCACGAUAGACACUUGGAACCAAUUCACUCACUGAAAAGUAAGAUAAUCAUAUACUAAGUCUGGAAAUUUUCUGUCUUUAAUUUGUGCUUCAUCUUCAUUCUUUUGACACGUGAUUUGUUGCUGACCAGCUGAACUUUCACCUGGUAGCUAUUUUCUUAUUCAACUUCUUUCAACUGUGGGGGAUAUAUAUGCAUGUACAUAUACAUAUACAUACGAACACACACACACCACAUACAUAUAUAUGUGUGCGUGUGUGUAUAGGACAUCAGUUCAUGGUUUACUAUGGUUGUGAUAUGGAAACGAAUUAUCUAAUUUCAGUUUGGGCAUGUUAUUCAUAGAUCACCUUGCCUUAUGAUACACAACAGCUAUCCAAAGCAACAAAAGAAACAGCAGCAAUUUACUUGGCAUGUGGAGUGGAUCCCUCCAAGGUCUGGCUCUCUUUGUAUAUUUAUUUAUUUUUAUAUUGCCAAUUAUUCAUCUCUGUAGGCUAAACCUAAAUGUAGAUUUUGUUUUCAUGUUCAGGCUUCAGUGUUUGUGCAGUCUCAUGUCCGUGCUCAUGUAGAAUUGAUGUGGCUGCUCAGUUCUACAACCCCAAUUGGUUGGCUGAAUAGAAUGAUCCAAUUCAAGGAGAAAUCAUUGAAAGCGGUGCGUUUUUGCUGUAUGUAGCCUUUUCUAUUGGUGUUGCUUUUGCCUUCUAAGCUUCUUGAUAGUUCUUUUACCUAUAUUUUAUAUAUGCAGUUAGGUAAAUAGGCUGUCAUUUAAACUUAGAUACAAUUAUACCCUACCGAAAAAUUGAAAGAAAAUGAUGGGUAUCUUUAUUUUAGAAAGUGGUAAUCAUCGGACAACUCUCUAGUUACAGGUCUGCAGCAGCCUUGCAUGUUAAUAUUUUUGGGGACAGAUUUCUUGUAUGUUUAAAUAGGCAAAUUUACUGGGUAGGGUUCAAGAUUUCUCAUCGCCUACGGUCAUAUAGGCUGACUACAAUGAAUUUUUUGUUCAACCUUUCUCAGGGUUCUGUAGAUCUUGGUCAAUCUCUCUUCAGCUGAGUGGACCUAGUCCAAAUUAUUGGGUUUAGUUGUCAAGAAUAUUGACCAAAUACCUUAUAGUUGGAAGUUGUUUGAUACUAGUAGUCGCCAGGCACUGGGGUUUCACUUUAUUUUGCUUUCAUGGUGUUGCUAUUUUGUUUUGAUUUAUCUCUUCUGUAUGUAGGGAGAUGAAAAUGUUGGGGUUGCUCUGCUGACAUAUCCUGUCCUAAUGGCGUCUGAUAUUUUGCUAUACCAGGUGGGUUGUCCUAUGCUGCAUUUUUGUGUUAGGGUGUGGGAGAAUUUAUCUUUAAAGUUGUGCAUAUGCAUGUUCAUUCCAAAGUUGAAGCUGCAUUUUUGUGUUAGGGUGUAGGGAGAAUUCAUCUUUAAAGUCGUGUAUGUUCAUUCCAAAGUUGAAGGUUACAUUUUAAAGUUCAGGGAAACGACGCAGGCUUCCAAAUUAGUUCUUUUGUUAGAUUUUUUUUUCAAUAUAGCAUCAGUAGAAUUUAUAUUCUGUGCGGUGAAGGCUAUUACUUCAAUAAUGUUGCUGCCUAUACAUCUUGAUGGUAAUAUCCUGAGGAUCCAUGAUUCUCAUACAUCGCAGCGUUCCCCUGCAGUCUGAUUAUGUCCCUGUUGGGGAUGAUCAGAAACAACAUCUGGAGUUAACUCGAGAACUUGCUCAGCGUGUUAACUAUCUUUAUGGAGGAAGGAAGUGGAAGAAAUUGGAGGGUAAGGGACAAGUUUUGCUUAGGGUCGAGCACCUGCUGAAUAUCUCAUUGAGAAUUUCCUUUGCCUUUCAUUUGAUGCAGUUACUCAUGGUUUCAAAUUUUUGUUACAGGCGAGGUGGUGCAAUUUUUAAGGUGGCUGUUUUCUUCCUUAUCUGUUUGAGGGUUUUACGUAUAUUCAGUUAAUAUGCGUUUAUUUCUGGGAAUGACUCAUGUGAUAUUGCAUAAUCAUUGUAGGUUCCGGAACCCCUUAUUCCACCUGCUGGAGCUCGAGUCAUGUCCCUAACUGAUGGUCUUUCAAAGGUUUGGAGUUUUACAGUUAUACUACGUUAUGUUAUUUUUCUGUCUUAGAUCUCACUCUGUAAAUACAACACCAUAAAAGACUUUUUAAAUAAGGCUAAAGCUUGGGUAGACCUGGUCUUCAAAGACCAAUGGCCCAGAUUGUGCCACAUCGCUUGGUUAAAAGGGAGAUAUUUCUUAUUUGAAUGUUUUUCUGCCCUUUGUCAUUCUCUGGUUAAAGAAAAUGAGUAGGAUGGCAUGGGCAGCUGCACUGUGUGUGUUUGUUGCGCCUCAUCAUCCCCUGUUGAGGCACCUGGAAUCCUUGCUAUGUGAGCAAGCACUCGCCUACCCUGCACCAUUGCAACCAGAACUUGGGAGCACUAUGACAGAUUGAUCUGAUUGAACUGAGGACAUAACUAUGAGGGCCUUAGACGAAGUAAAUGGGUCCUUAAAUUUCUCUCUCUAACACAACUCUCUCUCUCUCUCUCUCUCUCUCUCAGAGCUCCCCCCCCCCCAACAAUAUUAGUAGCUAAGAUGAUGUGUUUAACUCUGCAGAUUGCCCUUUUGUUUUGUUCGUCAACUUGAGAAUUUGAUAUCACAUAAAUGGCAGCAACAUGCAAUGGGACAAUUAAAUAUUGCAGGACUCUAGUCUUCAUUGGUGCUCUAUUUUUUUCAAAUAUUUUUUGUAAUUGCUGUUUUUGAUACUCUUUAUGUGACUGAUUUAUUUUUGUUAUAGAUGUCCAAAUCGGCGCCUUCUGAUCAGUCUCGAAUCAAUUUGCUUGACCCUAAAGAUGUGAGUUAAAUUGGUUUACUGCCUUAAUGUGCUGCUAGUAUACCAAGUUUCUGCUAGUAUACCAAGUUUUCUGGAAAGUCAAUGUCAAUGAAGUGCUGAGUUUGAAUUUUUUGAGUUCCAUUUGUUUUUAUGUGGAUGAGAUAAUCUUAUGCCUGAUUUUUGUUGUUAUACAUUACCUUAUGGUCUGAUUUGAACUCUUUUGCUUUCCAUAGGUUGUCAAUAAUAAAAUUAAGCGUUGCAAGACUGACUCAUUUCCUGGGUAUGUAUUCAGUGCCUUACUGACCUUAGUAGUUGGAACAAUUAUUUGAUUUAUGAAAAUACUUUUGCAUUCAUUCUUUGCUUUUUGAUUCAACAAGCUUGUUCAGAUUCAUUUUUCUUUUUCUUGUGCUUGUUUCUCUGCGGUGAAUUAUGCAGCCUGGAAUUUGAUAACUCUGAAAGACCUGAAUGUAACAAUCUUCUCUCAAUUUAUCAGCUCGUCACGGGGAAGACAAAGCAGGUUCAAUACCUUAAAGCAUAAUGUGUAUUUUUGCUGUUGUAGGUCCUAUAUUAAAGUGGACCCAAUGUGAAACUUGUUUAUUCAUGGAAUGAUUAUGUAGUAUCUGUAAUUAUCAGUUUAAUGUCUGAUACAUGGGCCGAUGGCCCACAUGAUAUUAACUCAAUUUUUCAAGGGGGAAAGCUCAUUAUGGUAGCUUGCUACCAGGGACUCUUGAAUGUUGCCUAGGCCUUGCACUACGGCCUUUGCGUGCACAACCCACCUAAAAACAAGACAAAAAUUUAAAAACAUAAAAAAAAAAAGAAAUAAAAGUUCACAAAAAACACCAAUAAUGCGAAAGGUUAUUGCAUCUUAUUUUGACAUAUUUUUAAACGUUUAUGAAAAUGAGAUGCAGUGAUUGUGAUUCUAGAAAAACAAGUGACACAUGUUUUCAGAUUUUUUAUUGUUUUAUGAAAGAUGUAUUCAUGUCUCCUUAUCAUGCAUACAACUUUAAUCCAAUCUUUUAAAAACAGUUAUACGCUUUCAUUUAUAGGUUCUUCUACGCCAGUGAUCUUUGUCUUUCCUCAGGAAGUGGCUGAAGAAUGUCGAGAUAUGAACUGGGGGACGUUCAAACCCGUCCUUACAGAUGCUUUGAUCGCUCACUUGCAUCCCAUCCAGGUUUCUGUUCUUACAUUAGAAUUUUCAUUACCAAGACAGACUAUCAGAUAUAGCCAAUUAGUCAUACUGAUUCUCUGCUCGGGAUGUGAAUACUUUUCCUAGCAUAGGGAGUAAAAAUUGCAGAGUUAAAAUUGAAGAGUAGCCGCAACACUAUUUCAGGGCUGUGAAAUUAUGUAGAGAGGCACGCCUGCUUCCCCAGGAUCAUGACAAUUAUUUUGCCGUGUAACCUGUAUAUGUGUACUAUGUUUCUACCAUCCAAAUGCCCAAUUUUUUUCAAGCUAAAAUUUGUACUGCUCUUUCUCAUAAGCCAAACAAAAAUUCUUUCUUCCAUUUGUCCUUCUCUGAGUUCAAAUUUUUUUUCCCUUGUGCUUCAAUUCACGUUUGAUAUGACAAUCAUGUAUUCUCAGAUGACUGAUUAUAUCCUAUGUCAUUUCAACCUAAUUAAUUCUUCAUAGUUGGCCUUACAUUUUCUUCUGCCUGCACUGACUGGUACUUUAUAGUGGAUAUGACAAAUAAGGCGUGUGCAUCACUAAUUAUAGUUUAUAACUUUUCAGGUUCGAUAUGGGGAAAUCAUGUCUGAUGCAAGUUACCUAGAUUCAGUGUUGGCUGAAGGUGCUAGAAAAGCUGCAGACAUUGCAGAUAAUACCCUCAAAAAUGUGUACCAAGCUAUGGGAUUCUUGCGGUGAUAAAUAUAACCCAUGCUGCUUCUGGAACUUGCUGAAAGGGUCAGCUCGAUAGCAACCUAAAAGCUCACUCAUCAAAAGUUCAAAUUCCAUAUUCUCCAACAUGCAUUAUCAUGAGCUCGUUACUGUUGAGGGGAGAAAUAAUUUAUCCAAAAAGGCAAGCAUUAAAGCUUUUACGCUAUCCUCACGCCUCCCUUUUAAGGGCGUGAAUAGAUGGAUUUUGAACAGUUGAUAAUUCCCUUAAUUCCCUAUUCUUUGAAAUCUAUACCGUGAUUUCUGAUAGGAGUUUGCCUUUAUUGGUAUAUACAAAACGUACACCUCUUGAUCAUCCUAUAAAUCAAUGUAAAUUGUAGCUGCAAUUCCAGAUGCAGUAUGUUAUGCCAAUUGAUGGUCAGUUUAAGGAUUUAAAACACCUUUGCUCCGUUCCACUUGAAUUAUCUGGCAUAAUCCAGCUUUAGCAUCCCUGGUGCACUUCUUAAAAGAAAAUGAAUGGCAUUACAAUUGGAAGUUCAAUUGUCUCUUGCUGAAUUUUAGUUCAACGUGCCUUGUAAUUGCAAGUUCUGGUAUACUUUCCAUCUGCUGGUUCCUUAAACUUUUUCUUUUUAAAGGGUUUCAGAUGUGCCGAAAGCUCCUCCUCCAUCACUUUUUCGUUUUCAGGUUUUGGGUCCAUGGUAAAUUGUUUUAAUCUUUGACUUGAAAAACUAGACAGAAAGGUGAGAGAAAAUCAAAUAAAAGUGAAAAAGGCAGGAUUGGAGGAGGAGAGAAGAAUCUAUGUCAUGCUCUUAUCGUGUGGCAUGGAACUUUUGGAUGUGGACGUGAGGAAUUUUUGUUCGGAGCUCACUUAUAAAUGUGAGCCACGUUGAAAUUUGUUUGGAGAAUUGCCACAUCCUCCCUGGGUUCCUUAUCAUCAACAUGGGAGAUGGUGACUGGGGAGGAAGAAUAUCCAUCUGUCCCAGUAGAAGGAAGAGGAAAAGUUUUAAUCAUGUUCUGAUGCCCGAUUAGUAACCCACCCACCUAGAGCUUUUGAAUCUUUUAGAAAGGCAAGUAGGAGACCACACAGCUCCAUUUAGCGUGAAAGAGAGGUCAAUGGUCCUCCUGUGAAAGCUGUAAUUUUGCUACCACUCUCUCCUCUAACCUCUUGAUGGGCGGCAAGGGAAUAAAGGGUGUAAAUCUCAUUCAGUUACUUUUGCUUUGCAUGAUAUGCUGGGAUAGCUAAAAUGGAUCUUCAACAGUGUCGGGCAGGACAAAGGAUUACUGUCUGCUAAUGUAAAGGAUGUGCUCUUUUUCAAUGAUUACUGAGAUUCUCUCUUUUAUCUCUUUGUCAUAGCCUGGUAUUAACUCAUUCCUUGAAACUUUCCACUUUCCUAAGUUACUCUUUCUUAUUGCGUUAAGUUUACCCAAAGUAGAUAGAUCUUGAGUUCCUAAAGCAGUUCAUUUUUGGCGCAGAAAACUGGGUCAUAUGCAGUGAUUAUUCCUGCUGGUCAUAUGAUGGUCUGCUUUUACGUUUCCUGAAGAGACAUGUUGUCGCUUCCGGUUACAAAGCAGAUUCCCUCAUGGGUGGUCAUGGACCGGGGGUUCUCGAUCUGUUCAUCUGAGUUUUUUUUUUUUGUUUAAUAAAUUAGUGAUUUAUAGGUCGGUUUCCAUUAGUUUUGAACUUCUAGUAUCAACCUUUGGCUGUUUAAUGGAUUUCUGAGUCUACUAUAAAAUUGUCUUGUUUCUCAUAAAACCAUUCAUUAGUACUCUUUAUAAUAAAAAAGGGACAGCAAUCACUGGUAUUCAGUAUACAUUCUACAUGGUUAUAUUACUAAUCUCACAGUGUAAUCUUGAAUACAUGAAAGCAUGAUGUGCAAAUUUGGAUGGGUAUCUAAGUUUUCUCUAUACCCGAAUGUGUGUGUAUCAAGUUUGUGCUCUAUCAUGUUGCCUGUAAAAUAUACUAUAUAUAUAUAUAUAUAUGCUUUUUGUUAGGCUAGUAGUUGUACAUGCAUGCAUGUAUUGUAUAUACAUCUAUUUACAUAUUUAUGCACAUACAUGCAUGCAUUUCAGUUUAAAUUCUCUGUAGCUGUUGAAAAUCUGAAGCAACCAUAAACUGACCGUACUGUAAUCAGACGAUUUAGGCACCCUGAAACAAUAGUUCAUAUGGACGUGCGUUGCAUAGCACUCGUCUGAGUAGUUGAUUGCUCAAUUUGAUUUGUAAAGUCAGCCGUGGUUUAUUCUGCAUCUUGUUGUCAAAUUACUAGUAAUACUCUAUUCAUGCUGACUGAAUAUCAGGUUUUGCAUAGCCAGUGAAGGUUUCCUGUUUUCAGUAGUAGCACUGUAAGUAGGAGAUGGCCACUUUUCGUGGUUGAUUAAAUUGCACUACUAUUUCCGGGAUGGUCGACCAUUCCCUUUCUGUGCCAAACAUGGAUCACAAAUAGGUGAUUGGAUAAAGUUGCAAAUUUCCCGAUUGGGGAAUCAUAUUAUUAUUGAACAAACACUACUACUCUUUUUCAAGUAUGGUUUGAAUUUAUGGUUCAAGUCAUGUUGCGGCGAGAGCACAAAGCAUGUUUUCCUUAAUUUGAACCAUACUUCAGGAAUUAAAUAAUUUCUUCUUUUUUUAUUUUUCUUUCAAUUUAUCUAAUUUUUAAUAUUCAUUUUUAAGAUUUAAAAUAAUUAUUGAUUCAAAACUAUUUAUGGAAGCAAAGAUAUGGUUUUUAUAAAAUAAUAAGCAAAAAUUUUUUCUAUUUUUUUGGAUUGCUUGAAGGUUAAUAAAAUAAAAAUAUGUUCUUUUUUUAAUGCAACAUGAUCUCAAUAAGGGCAUUUUCGGCAUUAAGGGGGGUUUUGUUAAAUGUUUGAUCAUUUAAAGGGUGAGAUCGUUAUUUGGACAAAUUAUAGGGAUUGAUUGGUAAUAUGGUCAAAUCUCAGGGGAGGUAAAUGUAAUUAACCCUUAUUUUAUCUAGGUUGAGUUAGACAUGCAUAUGCAGCUAUAAGUAGAUGCUAAUGGGCUUUGAUUUAUGUACAUUACUACAACUCCUUCAAGUUGCCAUAAAUUUUGGUCGGGUUAAAAUUGAUUGAAAAUUUUGAUAAAGUAAAAAAAAGGGACGAAUUCAAUAAAAGUUGUUAUGAGCUAAAUAUAUAAAUAUCCUUGGAACUAUUUGAUAGGAUUGUGACAAACAGUACUAGCUUGUGUGGUAUUUGAUUGAUGGCAAAGCAUGAUCGAAGUGAUUGAGAUCAAUCUUGCAAAAACAGCUACCUACGCAUAUUGAUGGGGGAUGCCUAGGACCCUUUAGAAAUAUGAUCUGAAAUGCUCCUCCUCAAGCAGGCCAAACCUCUUUAUUGGGAGAAUACAUCUCUCUCAAAUUAGCUUUUGAAGUUCGUCUGCAAAUUUGCGAGCCUACUGUUUUUUCUCACAUAAAAAACCUCCAUAUGAUUAUCAAUUCUAAUCAUUGGAAAGGCCAUCUAGAAAUUAAAAUAACAAAUGUAGACAUCUGUGCGAGUGCGACGAAACAAUAAUAUAAUCUGCAAUUACCAUCCUGUCCACCUGCAAGAUUUAGCACAUUUUUAGUUUCCACAGUCGUUCAUUGCGAAGAUCUCAAACUUGACAGUUGCUUGGAAUCUACUCCCCUUCUUUUAGCUUUUUUCUGACGGCCAGGUAACCUUUUCAUGAGUAUCUCUUCUUUUCGUGACCUGGAAAGUGGCUUCACCAAUUGUCUUUUGAUUCAAUGAUGCCAAUUCAGAGGGACUAACAGGAAUCAAGCAACUGGAUCAGUUUGCUUGAGAUUCAACUCUGUUAUUAUUCUGUCAAGCCUCAACUAACAGGAACGCUUAUAUUGAUAUGUUUUUUCUCUAUCUCUCGGAUCAAUAUGAGAUAUAACACUUUAUUCAUGAAUCUAACAAAUCUCUUUCUUUAUGAGUACCCCUCAUAUUAAAUCCAAAUUUACAAGCUCUUUUUUGAAUUCAGUUUAAUACUCAACACAAUCUCACCUUAUCACCUAAAAUCACCUCUUCUCCCAAACACAGACAUACUCUUUUUUAACAUCCAAACUGUAUUUUAAACCUCUGCCAACCCUUGAUUCCUUGGUUUAACACCAACUGGAACCCUUGCCAAACUCAUGACGCACUUGGUCCAAUACUAACCAAAUUCUUUGGCACUUUGAUCCACCACUAAAAAGAGAAUUUUUACCAAUCCAACUCCGACAAGAAUUCACUUGUCCAUGAGUGGUCCAGUCUCGCAACCUGAAGUUCUGAUACCUAUUUGAUAUGAGAGAAACACCUUGAGAGAGUCCACUAAAGAACCCAAUAUAUAAGUCAGGAAUCCAACAUUAAUCGAAAAGCUUAAUCCAUUAGGUUUUGGGCCCUUACUUACAUAUUAACUACUCUUUCUCUAUCUCUCGGACUAAUGUGGAAUAUAAUUCUUUACUCGUAAAUAGAGCUGUUAAACGAACUUAGCUGUUCGUUAGCUCGGUUCGUUUCGGCUCGUUCGUGCUCGUGAAAGGUCGCGAACGAAUUUUUUGUUCGAUUAAUAAUCGAGCGAACGACGAACAUGUUCGCGAGUUUUAACGAACGUUCGCGAGCAUGCUAAACGAACGUUCGCGAACACGAGUAUGUUCGCGAGUUUUAACGAACGUUCGUGAACAUAGACAUAAUUAUCAUUUGACAAAUUUUAGGGUUAAUUUUAUGGCUGGACUUUUAUAUUUGGAGAGCAAAUUUCUUUGUUUUAUUUGUUGUUUUUAUGUUAAUGUUAGUUAUAUAGUUAAUGAAUAAUAGAAUUUAGUCACUUAGUGCUUUAAUUAUUUUUAAGAAUAAUUAAUAAUUUGCAUGGCAUAUUUAAAGCAUAAAAUAAUUUGGAUUCGAGCAUUUCGAACAUGUUCACGAACGGCUCGUUUAUGUUAAACUAGCCGAACACGAACUCGAACUCGAACACGAAUUUUACUUAACGAACCGAACACGAACACAAGUUUGGAGUUCGAAACUUAACGAACGAACACGAACGUUGUUCGAACUGCUUAACGAACAGAGCUCAAACAUGAGAUACUCGGUUCGAUUCGGUUCGUUUACAGCUCUACUCGUAAACUUGACAUAUAUAUAUAUAUAUUGGAUUGAGCAGUUUCUCAUGACCAGCCACGUAGGAUGGUGGAUAAUUGAAGAUUUGAGUAGCCUAUUAUACAUAGAAGUGGCAUGUGUAAAAGACAGAUGGAAAUAUGUCAUCAUAUUAUAAGCUAUCAUGGAAGUGGCACAUGUAAAAGAUGGAAAUGGGGCAGGAACGAUUGUCAGUGACAACCGUUCCUGAAGGUUCACGGUCACGAUGUGACCUCAAAAAUUUGUGCGGCUCAAAUUACAGCAUGUAACUCGAUUUUCACGCCAUGUGUGGAACUCACAAAAAAAUGUUGUAAAAUUACAUCGUGUGCAAAGUAAAUUACAUCGUGUGCAAUGGAAGUUACGCGCCGUGAAAAAUGAACACAACCUGCAACCGUUUGUGCCCCUUGUCCGUAAAAGAUAGAUAUGAAACAUAUUAUUGUAUUAUUUCCUAUGAGAUAAAACAAAAAUCAUUCUCGGAAAAGUUACCAAACAAAUGGAGCCAAAGUUUUUUUUUUCUUUUUAAAUUUUUCAGGAUGGGAGGGACGGCGGAUUUGAAAAGUGGAAAGGAGAAAAGAGAAACUGUUUUCUUUUCAAUUUUUUUUUUAAUAAGAGAAUGGAGAGAUUUAAAAAGCGAAGGACGGAAGAUUUGAUCGUAGCCAAAGUUAUCAACACACACAGUGAAACAGUGUUGCAUCUCAACUUUAUCUGGUGGAUCACAUCCAUGUGGUGAAGCAAAAAGCUACAGUCCGAAAUUUGUUCUUUUGGAUUCACUAGUUUUUCAAAAAUUAAUUUUUUAAAUACUAUUAAAAUUUUUUUUGGUACGAAGUUAAACCUAAUUGGUCUUUUUUUUUUUGGUACGAAGUUAAACUUCAUUGGUCAUUUGAUACUUUGGACACAAAUGGUGUCCUAGCCGAAAGCUUUUUUUUUCUUUUUUUAGGAAUCUUGACGAGAGAAGCUUUUUUAUCAGAUUCCAUGUGAAUAAAUGUGAAGGAUAUUGUAUCUUAUUCUCGUGGAUGCCCACAUAUCUAACAUCCGAUUCUGAGUUGUGGUUUAAUUUGCAGGGCUAUCUUGAUGAGCAAUUUAUUCAGCUGGAAGAAUUGCAAGAUGAUGCUAACCCUAACUUUGUGGAGGAAGUUGUCAGGGUUUUCUACAAUGAUUCAGCAAGACUGAUCCGUAACAUUGAAAUGGCAAUGUGAGAAAAAUCCCAUCCUUAAUAAUUAACCUAGUUUCUUGGUUUUGCAUGCCAAUUAGUAAAUAUCAAUCCUGUCAAUUACAUUAUUGUUGUGCAGGGGGAAAAACCCUAUGGACUUUGGCAAGUUGGAUGAUGUCAUGCACCAGUUCAAGGGUAGCUGCUCAGGGUAAACUGUAGUUAUUUGGAAGUAAUCGUGUGCUAAAAUGGCGAAAUAGUGAGGAGCUAGAACAGUGCCCUUGUUCGGUUUGCAGUUUUUCAAGAAGGAAAAAUUUUCAUGAACCCGCCUUCUAAUUAUUUUUUUAAUGUAUAUGCAUCAAAUCGUUAUAAUACAUUUUUCUAUAAAAACUCUAAAAUAAUAAUUUAAAAAAAAAACAAUUCAAAUGGGAUGUGUUCAUCCAUCCUGGAAAAAUCGGACACUAAUAGAACUUGAUUGAUAUCUAGAGAGUCUUUCUUCAUUAUUCCUUUUUUUUUUUUUUAGUUUCCCAUCAACAAAUUUAAGAGCUAGAAGUGAAAUAAAGGUGAAAAGCAAAAGGGUUGGGAGAGGCCUUGACCAUGUUUAGAAGGUGUCUUGUCUAUUGGAAAAUGGAAAAGGUUUUCAACACUCGACUAACUACUUUAAGGUCGACUCAAAUGUAGUGAAAAGCACACAAAUGCUGAGUAAGCGAGAGGGUAUCUCUUGGAAUAAAGUUGCCAAAAAAAAUGAUAGCUAGCAUAUAUACUUCUGAUCCUUAUUCUUCAAAUGCCUGCAUCUGAAAACAUCCCAUCAAAUAUAUUGACUGAAAGAAAAAUUCAACUGCUCCAAAUAUUCCUUAUGGAUUGAAAAGUUAGAAAAAUAUUAAAGAUGCUCACGCUUGCAACCAGCAAGCUGGAGCUCCAAAGAUGUAAUUUCGUUCCCACGUUGAUAGAAGCCAGAAUAACAUGCUUUGUAUCUGCAAAUCAUUACGAUAAUUGUGGCUAGUUUUAGAUUGGUUUGAUAUUGCUUAUACUUAAGUUCUUUUACUUAAUUUAGAGGAGGAUAUGUUGAUAUAUAUAUAUAAUAUAUAUAUAUAUAUAUACAUAUAUGUUACUGAUGUAUGCAGAAAAAAAGUUGGUAAUUGGAUCUUUACACAGGAUUUCUUUUACUUGGGGCGGGGACCGUGGGGCUAGGAGCUGGGAAAAGGAUGCUGUAUUGAAUUUUGGCACGGGAUGCAUUGAAAACAACUGUUUGGCGUAUUGACUCAUAGAAAUUGUCGAUGCACAAGCAUUUUUUGCUUCAUAAGUAAAGAGAUUUUAGAAGUCACCAUCUUUCAGUUGGGCUCCAGAGAUUCCAUGCAACAUUUGGUGAUAUGGAUGAGGUGGGCUGUAAACGACCACGCUGGCUGACUUGAUACAGCAUUCUAGUAACGCGUUUCCAUUGAAAAAACUGCAGACAAAACACAAAUCUUAUCCAAGAUGCCCUAGCCAAGUUUAAUGUUUCAGUUUCAGAUUUAUUGAGUAUCUCUACCCCCAAUGCAGAUAUGUAUUGUUCAUGUGGCAAGCUAGAUCUACUCUUGCUCUUCGAUCAAUACUGGCAUAACAUCUGCAUGCAUGCAUGCGUGCGUGCGUGCGUGCAUGCAUGUAACGAAACAGACAGUACUCGGCCCUGCAUCUGAAUCUUAAAACAAGCGUUUUUAGGCCAAUCAAGUUUUUCCAAGAAUUGGAUGCGCAAUCGACUUCUUUGUAAACUGGUUUAGCAUUUCAGAGAGAAAACUUUUCUUUGUUUCAAUCUCAACAGCUGAGAAGGUUGCGUAUCGAUUGCUAGAUAGUAGACAUUCUUGUAGUGAUUGAUCAUUCAAAUUAACCAUAUGCAUAGCACCCUGAUUGUCCUUCAACUCGAUGCAGCAUUGGUGCCAAAAAGGUGAAAAGGGAAUGCACCGAUUCCAAGACUACUGCAAGGAAGAGGACCCUGAAGGGUACAAGUUGACUUUGCUCAGCUUACAUCUUUCCCUCAUGCUUUUUUAAUUUGAUUUUAUUUUUUUAGUGACUUAUAUGAGCCUAGCUAAAUGAUGGUCUAUUGCUACAUGAUUCAUUGGUCGUGCAGAUGCAUGGGGGCCUUCCAAGCAGUGAAGCAAGAACAUGCAACCCUAAAGGGGAAACUAGAUGCUUACUUUCAGGUGUCUUUUCCGACUUCUCUUUCCCUCCUCUACCUCAGAUAUGGACAGAACACGCAUGCACCUGCUCUUUACGGUUUAAGCCAAAAUACAAUGCAUAUCUUUCCUUAUGAAUCUACUAUUCAAGCAGUAGCGUUGAUGCUAGGAAAAUUUUGACCCACACUUUCCAACUUUUACGAUAACUGCCAAAGUACGAUGAUCCAGAAUCCGCCAAAAGUACUACGCAAAUUACUUGUACUUGAUAAAUAUCUUACGUUGUCUUCUCAGGCCUGUAGCAUCUAGAAAUUCCUAGAUUCCUACUUUUACCAAGAAAUAAUCGGGUGAAAAGGAAAACUACCACUGAGAAACGUAAGUACAAGUAUUCACCGCCGCAGCAUUCUCUGAAUACUUAUCCACAGCACACCCUGUUGAGUGUUGACAUGAAAAAGACCUAUAGAUAGAAAAAACAAAUUUUGUUUAAGACAACCAUUUUCAGUAACAUCAUAAAACACCCACAAAUCUUCACAAAAACAAACAUAUGAAAUACGGUCCCGGUACCAGAGGUUGCCCGUGGUGGGGAGAGGGAAGGGUGUGUUUUACCAUCUUGCAUCCUUUAUACUUCAUGCACUCAAUCCUACGAAUCAUGGCUCUGUCAUUACAUACAUAUUAACAUGCACAAGUAGUAACACGUUUUUCUGGCGUAUUAAUUAUGACUGAUAAAUUCUGCUUGCUCUGAUUUCACUGCAAUUUUAGUUGACAAGGCAAUGUUGAAGGUGCGCCCAACACCUUCAAGGACGGGUUAGCUAGACAAAGAUAUGGCGCCCGUAGCAAGCUUUCCAAAUAUCGCGACUAUGACGAGCAAAUAAUACUACGGCAUCGGGAGAUAUAUCAUUUCACUUGCUAUAGGAUCUCCAUCCACGACCAUGGAUGGAUAUUUACGGAAAGCAAAAGCAUUAGCAAAUAAUACUAUAGCAUGGCGUUACUUUUCAUUCUCGAUAGAGUCAGAGAUGCAGAGGAGUAGCAAUAGCAAAAGAAGAAAUAAUUGGCAGCUUCAAUCAUCAUGAUGAAGUUGUGAGAAGCGUGAAAUUGUAUCCAUAUAUAUAUAUAUACUAUAUAUCUCUACCUAUCUGAGAAUAACGGAUAUAAUAUGACAAUAGUUAUCCAGCCUACACCUAGAAUUGCUUGCUCAAAGAUGAUUUGUGGGUUUUUUUCUUUAUGUCUUUUUUGCUCCACGGUUCCGCCAUUUCCCCCAAAAGUAGCUAGUUCGAACUGCAAAAAGUGAACAUCCUCUCCGUUUUCCCCUUUCCUUCGAUGAAUUUGACCAAUUCCAUUACCCUUUUCUUGUCCAUGCACGUAUAAUAUCAGAGUCCCAUGUAUGAUGCUACAGACAGCAAAGAGUCAUUGGAAUAUUCAUUAAUACAUAAAGCAUAAAGGUUGAACUUUGAAGGGAGGCUUUACUUUUGAAACAGGGAUUCUACAAUGCAACAACUCAAGAAUAGUCAAAACUGGCUUUAUAUUCCGUGCUAAAAAUGAUUAUAACAAUUUAAUAUUAAAAUAAAGUAUUUAUUACUCCAUUCGUCCUAUUAAAACUAUCGUACUUUUCUUUUUGGUCUGUCUCAAAGUUACGUCAUCUUACUAAAUUUGGCUAAUAAUUUUGUAACUCAUUCCAAUUUUUACCCCUCACACGCUUGCACAAGAAAUCUUUGAAUAAUGUUAUAGGUCCACCUUCUCUUUGCAACGUACAUUCAAGAAAUAUGUUCAAAUAGCACGUGGAUGUUACUAACAUUUAGAUGAGUCAGAAGCAUACUAGAGCAUGCCUACUUGUAAGAAGAUUUAGGCACAAAAGAUAAUAUAUUGGCCCCACAUAUAGCUUCAAAUAUUCAAACGGUUUUAGGGUCCGUUUGGUUGGACUGAAAAUAUUUUCCUAGGGAAAACAUUUUCCAUCGAAGUCAUUUUCCUGGAAAAUCACUUUCUUCCCAUAAUUUUCCAAUGUUUGGUUAUUAAGUGAAAAUAUUUUUCAAAUUUCUUUUUUCAUAAUUUUCCCGGUGUUUGAUUUGUCAAUGAAAAUAUUUUCUGAUAUAUUUAUUAAUAUGUUGUAAAUAUUUUUCUACUCUCAAAACAUUCAUUUUAUUACAGGUUAAUUUUAGUUUUUAUCAAUUAUAAUCAUAUUCUCAUUUUUAUAUAAAAUAUUUAUUCAUAUUACACCAUGAACUCAUGAAUGGAAUUAUGAAUGAUACUAAUGAAUUGGCUUUUUACUUUCCUUCUAAAAAAAAAAAAAUCAUUAAGGGCCGAGAGUCUCUUCAUGUAAGCGAAGAGCAAACAUCAGUUUCUGAAGACCAAGAUUUGGAUCUUUACCGGCUUCUUGGAUGAUAAGAUCCACUCCCAAGCAUAUUAGCAUCCUCUUAACGUCUCCUUUCUGUUGUCCUCAUCAUAUCGUCAGCCUGCUUUGACAGACACACCCAAAUCCUGGGGAGGAAAUGAUCCCUCACCUUCUUAUUGUCGAAGAUUAGCUGACACAGGGUCGUUUUCCCGACCCCGGUCAUUCCAACUAUUGCAAAUGCCUUGAAUCCAUUUUUACCCUCUUUCCUGAGAAGCAGCCUCUCCAAGAAUCUCUCUUUGUCCUCGAAUCCAUGGACCUUGCUUGGAUCCACGUUCGCGAGCUCCACCGAUAUGUAUCCAAAUUCUCUAUUAAACUCGCGUCUGCAGCAUCCUGUCCAGUUUGUAGCAGCAGCAGCAGCAGCAGACCCUGCUCCUCUUUCACUGCCUUCCCACCUUCUAAUUUCUUACUAAUCUCCUUGAGUCUCUUGUCAAGUUUAUAAGCGAAAGCUAGUGCAUCAGGACUGUAUAUACUCUGGCCUUAGACCCUCACCUAAUUGGAAGAGUUGCUUACCUCUGAAAGUGGGGUCUUCCGGAGCUGGAGAUGCCGCUGGCGAAGAAGGAAUUGGUUUGCCGAUGAGCUGUUGCGCGGAGAUGGUCUUUUAUCGCUGCCGAAGAAGGGACUGGUCUUUUGUCGAUGGUUCACCGCUGGAGCUUGUGAAAAGAAGACUGAUUUUACGGAAGGAAAAUAACUUCACAACGAUGGAUUUUCCUCCGCUUGGUGUAACUUAUUUUCUGUCAGAAUUAUUUUCCCAAAUUAAUUGACAGCCAAACAACAGAAAAUGUGGAAAAUGUUUUCUGGAAAACAUUUUCCAUCCAAACAAACAGACCCUUAAACUUACACAUUUUCCCACCAAUAAGUGAAGAUUAGUAAUGGAAAGCAAACACAAUUCCUUCACUCUUUGACCAACCGUUGAUAAAAAACACAAUUCCCCAAAACUGACAAACUUAUUGGACAGAGGGCGUAUUAUUUAUUUGUUGAAUUUGAAAGCAGUAAGAUUUGGUAGAAUUUGUUAGGACUUUUUGUAAUUAGUAGGGAUAAUUUCAUAAACCUCCCUUGAGGUUUUUGACAAUUUCACUCGGUUCCCUUAACAUUUAUAUAAUUACGGAGACCUCUCUUGGUGUGUUAAAAAAACAACAAUGCCUUUUAUUAAUUGUAAACUCAUUGAAAAACUCUAUCAAAUAUUAAAACUCUCUCAUCUAUUAAACAACCAAUAAUUAUUCAAACUACAGUAUUUUUCAUUUAACUAUCUAUCUUCUUUCUCCUACAUCUAUUUUCUUUUCAAACUCAUUUAUUUAUUAUUAUCAACCAAAUAUGUACUACCGCCACUAAUAAAAUUACCAUACACACCAAAACUACGAAUACUUACAUAUCUUGGUAUCUAUUCCAAUUCUCGAUUUUUCACUAUUAUUAAAUAGUUUUCCUUGCGGCCAUUUUUGUUCCAAUUUUUGAUAGGUAUUAACAAAUUGAAAUUGUCAAAUAACAAAUUGAGUUGAUACGAACCCAAUCCCGAUUGGCGAACUCGUACUCUAACAAGAAGGAUCUAGACAAGCGACUCCAAGACUUGAACGUGCGGAACCCUAAACCCCUUAGAAUCCCUUGAUGAGAACUAAGAGUGAUUCUUGACCCUCAAGAAGUGAUUAAAGGAACUUAUAGUGUUUGGUAGAAUGGUGCCACAAACAAAUGUGAUUCUUGCUUAAUAAACCAAGAAGAACACUUAGAACAAAUCUAAGAUAUUCAAAGGAUAAACAAAGCUAAGAGAAAACGCUCUUAAUGCUGAAAAUUAAUAUUGAUAAUUGAUGAUUGAAGACAAUUCGGCCAAGCUCUUAAUGCUCAAAAAUAAUCCUAAUCCUAACGUAUCUUGGAAAAACUCACUAACUCAAACAAACUUGAAAUUAUUAACUCGUCCCUAAUGAACUAAAAGCUGGUCGGUUAAGGCUCAACAUAAGCUAUUCAACCUUAUUGUCAUGCCUACAAACUAGCUACUAAUUUCGAACAAGAAAGUCAAGAAGCAAUCCGUAUGCUCCUAGGAGCCCGUGACCUCCUCUUUGGCUUGGAGUAGAUUCACCAACGUGUGGUGAGUCUCUUGAAUCUUUUCUAUAGGAGCGUGAACAACUUGUAGAAAUGUUUGAAGAGACUCUCGCAUUUUCAUUGCCCUUGCUCGAGUCAUUGGUCCAAGGUUUAUCAUUGGAGCAUUUAGGACUUCACUCGAGCCUUUUGAAUCAGCAACUUGAAGCCUUGGUGCACUCUCAUCAUGAGUGCUAAUUUCAUUAUCAAACUAGAUGGAGAUGAUGAUAGUGAUAAUGAUAAAAAUAAAAUAAAAAUUAAGGAUAAAAUGAAAUAGGAACUAAAUAUAGGUUAUACUGUUAUGGUUGCCAUGAAAUAAAUGUUCUUGAUACAUAUUUAUAACUGCAUUGUGUUUCUAUUUUUGAUUUACAACUAUUGAUGUUAUUCCUGUAGAGAGAAUUUGAUUGAUUUUGAACUCUAUGCCAACGGAGUAUAUUGGAUAUUGAUAUUAGUAGUGAUGAUUUAGAUUAUUUUGUAUUAAAAAGGUGGCAAACAUGGAAUUGAAAUUUAGAGAUAUUGAUGAAUAUUGUUGUGUAUAAAAUAAAAUCUGAUAUUGAUAUGAGAUUGUAAAUAAAUUUUGGAUAUAUGAUGUAGCAUUUAUAGUUGAUACAAUGGUCUGCAUCAGAAAUUUUUAGGAAAAGGAGAAACAUCAGAACAAAGAUAAUUAUUUAUUUAAUGGUGAGUUGGAUGUUGAUGGGGAGGUAAUAGUGAUAUCAAGUAAAGAUAAAUGAAAUAGAGAUUGUGAACCAUUUUUUUCCUUUACAUUUUUGUUGUGAAUUAUAAUUCAAGGGUAUUAUAGAAAUUUUGAGAAAAAGUAUAGCCUUUUGGGCCUAAAAUGUUACUUAAAUAGUGAAAAUAAGGGAGGUAGGUGUAAUUUUUAGAACUUGAGGGGAGCUUUUGCAAUUGUUAAAAACCUUAGGGGAGGUAUGUGAAAUUAACCCUAAUUUGUAAACAUAAGGAUCUGUAACGUGAUCAACAUAAUAUAUCCAUAAUAAAAUACUUCACACAGACUUUACUUAGUAUUUUGAAUUUUUGUACCCCAAAUGGAUUGAUUCAAAUAUUAAAAUUAAACUAACAAAUAAAUUAUUAGAAAAUGACACUUGGCUUGCUCAUUGAAAAGCUUCCACAUGAUGUCAACAGUGAAUAGUACUAUUAUAGUUGACCUUGAGAAAGAGUGAGUUUUUAAGUAUAUGCGGCUUCAGAUACUUAGCAGAAUGAAAGAAACAAAAAGAAUGCCGAAGGGAUCAAUUAUAGAAGGGAUCUUGUUGAAGAAAAGCGAGAAACUGAAGAAACCAAGGAACUUUGCCAAAGAAUAACUCAAACUGAGAAGAUGAAGUGUAAGAAAGAAAUGGAGAUGCUUGUGAAAUAUGUACUAAAAUCAGUAUCUAUAAUUAGAAAGCAGUACAACAAUGUGGAAGGACGGGGAUAGAAUUCUCCAUGCUACAUUUUUCAUGCUUUGAAGUCCCAAACUAAAACUCAUAGAGUAGCAUGUUUCUACUCUUUUGGAAAAGAGCGCAAAAUAGACAAGGAAGUAGACAUAACAUCAUGAGAGAGAGAGAGAGAGAGAAAGAGAGAGAGAAGCACAGUUGGAUAUGGUAGAAGAGGAGGAAAGCAUUAGGGGUAGCAUCUUAGAUUAGGUAUAACUAUGCCAUCUUUUGAAUGUUCUCUUUGUUAACCAAUAGAAUUGAAAAGGGAAUCUAUCUGUCAUAGAAAUAUCCAAAAGUUCAAGGUACAAUGUUUCUUUUGAUACUUGGUUGUGUCAAGAUCUAAGAGGGUGCUUGGUUGGAGGGGAUAGGAAUCAAGCAUUGGAUUGAACCCCAAAAUUGUUGCUUGGCUAAUGGGUAUAGGUUUUGAAAUCUUGGAAUGAUUCAUGAAAAAUCAGCCACUCUCCAUACUCAAGUAGAUUGGAGGGUUUUGAUGAAUCCCACAUUUGAUUCCAAAAUCUUUUAAAAAAAAAUUAUUUUUGGGAUUUUUUAAAAAUAUAUACUGGCUCUGUUUCUAUAUAUUAAUAUUUAUUUAUUUAUAUAUAAUAUUUUUAUUUCAAUUUUGUUUUAUAAUAUGUAUAUUAUAUAUAUAUAUAAAUAUAUAUAUAUUAAUAUACAUAUUAUAAAAAAAUUGAAAUAUAUAUUUAUAAAUAUUUUACUUAUAUAUAAAUAUAUAUUUAUUUAUUUCAAUUGAUAUAAUAUAUCUAAUAUACAUAUUAAUAUUAAUAUAAUUUUAUAUAUAAUAAAAUAUAAAUAUUAAUUGAAAUAUACAUAUUAUAAAACAAAAUUGAAAUAAAUAUAUUUAUAUAUUUAUAUAAAUAUAUAUAUAAAUAAAAAUAAUUUAUAAAGAUAUAUAAAUAUAUUUUAAACAAAAAUAUUUAUAUAUAAAUAUAUAUUAUUUAUUUCAUUUGAUAUAACAUAUAUAAUAUACAUAAUUGAAAUAUACAUAUUAAUAUUACUAUAAUUUAUAUUAUAUAAUUUAUAUAAUAUAUACAUAAUUGAAAUAUACAUAUUAAUAUAUAUUAAUAUACAUAUUAUAAAUUUAUAUAAAUAUAUAUAAAAAUAUAUUUAUAUAUUAUAUAUAUAUAUAAAUAUAUUUAUAUUUAUAUUUAUAAAUAUUUAUAAAUAAAUUUUAAACAGAAAAUUAAUAUAUAUAUAUUAUAUAUGAAUAUAUAUAUAUAUUAUAUAUAUAAUUAUAUAUAUAUAUAUAUAUAUAUAUAUGGUGGAUGGGUAUGUGGGAUAAGCAUUUGAACGAGGAAGAAGAAAGAUAUGAAAAGAAAAAAGAAAUUAAAGGUAAAAAAUGAUUAUUAAAUUUGAUACCCAUUUCUUACCACUAUUUACCAAGCACCCCCAUUUGUAAUCAUACCUUUGUCCAAAACCCAUACUAAUUUUUCGUAAAUGAUUCCAAUUACAAUUCCGAUUCCUAAACAUGAACCAAGCGGCCCCUUUAAAUGUAUGGUGUCAAUAAUGAAACAUAGAAAGUGUAAUGUGUUCUUUACCAUGGCGGGAAUUGAGGCUUUUAUAGAGGAAAAGGACCUUUCAUCGUAGCUUUUUCUACUUAUUGUUUCGACAAAAAAAAAAAUCAUAGCUUUUUCUACUACAUUCUUAUUGCACUCUCUAAAAUUAUAUUAUUCAUCAGUCCAUACUAUUUACUAUCUAUAAUUAUUUAUAUCACCAGUUUAUAUCUUCUAGAAGGAUUCUGACAUUUUGAGAGAACAAUCCGUGUGUCACUUUUUUCAGUUUUUGAAUUAUUUUGUUCUUUAGUAAAUUUGACUAAUCUUAUCUAAUUUUAUUUUAGUCAAUUUAAUUCAAAUCUCUAAAUCCUUACAUUUUAGGUAGGAAAAAUUUUUAGGUAAACAAUCUUAUCAAAAUAAGAUGUCUAAUUUUCUCCUCUUGCUCUCUUAUUUCUCUUUAGAAAAAACUCUCUAACUAAAAUCCUUUCAACUCUCUCGUAGGAGAGAUAUAUUUCCCAGCUCUCUCUACAGUUUCUUUUCAUUUAUGUGAAUAAAAUCUCUUUGAAAAUUUCUAAUGAGAGUUUCUUCUCUUCUUAGGGUUAUUUAGUGAGAGUUUGUUUCUCUUCUAAAUUUUUUAGUGAAAGUUUUAUUCUCUUCUAGGUAUUCCUAGUGAGAUUUUUUGAUAAUUUUUUAUUUUUUUAUUAGAUCUGAGUAUUUUCAGAUUUUGAUUAUCAGAUCUGGAAUUUCUUGGAUCUAUUCGGCAUAUCUCACCAUAAUAUCUAAAUUUGAAACAGUUAAUCAGUAGAUCUGAUGAUUGGAAGUAUGCACAGAUGUCUGUGGAGUUACAAUUAUUUUAUCUUAUUUUUUAAAUUGGAAAUUUAUAAUGUAAUUUUUAUUAUUUUUCAAAUCUGGAGUAUCCUUUUUUUCAGAUCUAUUCUUUGAAUGUCUGUAUAUGUUUGAUGAUGUAAUUUCUACUAUUAGUGCAGAUUUUAAUGAAAUUAUGAAUAUUUUAUAAAGAAAAAAGAUGUCUAAGUAAAAUUAGUUAACAAACAAACUUAUAAAAAAAAUUAAAACUAUGUUUAGGAGAAAUUUUAACUUGAUACGUUUUUACAAGUAGAAUCUCUUCUCAUUCCCAAACAAUUUUGUGAGUUUUACUUAAACUUAUAAAGAUUUUAGACAUUGCUAAUUGUCUUGUUAAAAAUACUUUUAGUAAGGAUACAAUGUGUUCAAAUUGCACAAAUAAUUAGAUUCACUAUUUAAAAUGGUAUUAUAAUUUGUUUUUGCAUAGACUACUUAUAUCACAAAAAGUAUAGCACAACAUUACUAACCUCAUGCAAUCGUGCAAAAAAAUUUUUUUUUUUUUCUACAUCAAUAGUUUCAAUCUACAAAGUUCAAUUAAUUCUCCAUAUUUUCAUCAUUAGUAUAGCAUGCUAAUAAUUUCAAAUUUCAAAGAGUUCUACUAUAUCCACACCACUUUAAAAUUCAAAAAAGAAAAAGUAAAACUGAUCCAAAUUAAGUAGUGCCCGCUGUCCACACUGCAAGGAGCGCUGGAUGUACUUGUUGGUUUGUGGCAGCACAUGCCUUCACUAGCCAAAAGGAGACGACUAUGAUAUGCCUAAAAUCUAAUAAGUACAAUUUGUGCUCCCACUGGACGAAACAAAAUUACCAUAAUAGGCUAAAAUCUAUUAAUAAUUAUAAUUUGUGCCCUCACUAAAUUAUGAAAUUCAAAAUCUCCAUUAUGAAUCUUACAUAUAUAAAGCGUGAAUCGCUUAUGAACAGUGCGCAAUGGACCGGUUAUACCGUGAUUGUUGUGACUUUGAGGGCUGUUUUGGUCUUUUGGCAAUGGAUGGCACUGGUUUUGAACAGUAUCAAGGCAUUUAUGAACCAUAUCAAGGCAUGCACUUCCCACGCCCAAUGCAUGUGGUCUUUCUCCACGCGUCCCAGUAUUCCACACCACGACUCGCCUUUUUGCACCUCCGACGCUGCUUAGUCUGCUGCUACUCGGUCCGAUUCUCUCUUCAAUCUUCAAAUUGAGUUAAUACUGCGGUUGAAAAUUUUGGUUACUCUUUUAAGUCCGAUUCCAUGUGGUUAUGAUAAUAUCAUUAUUGUACUUUCAUCUUUGUAGGCCAAAAAUCUUACCUUCGUACGCAAGGUAAUCUCCAUGUAAAAAAUAUUUCCUGCACAGAAAAAAAAUUAUAUAUAUAAGGAUCUCUAUGUAAACAUUUUUUUUGGCAAAAGGAUAAACUUUCUUCAUAAAAAAAAUGCAAUUUAAGAAAUGGAUUAUAGUUUUAAACUUUUACAGUAGGCCCAACUUUUUUCUUUUGAGCAUGAAAAAAUGAUUCAAUAAAUACAUAUUUUCUAACCUUAAACACAAGUUUAUUAUCCCAUUUGUAGAAUAGUUUCACCAGUUAUUUCUUAGCAUUUUAUUCUAACCAAUCCUUAAACAUAAGUUGAUUUGGAAUUCACCAUUUAAAGUUUCUAACUAUCUCUUGAUUUUGAAUACCACUUUUAUUAAAAAAGAAAAAGUAAAAGAGAAACUCACCUAUUUUAGCACAUGAUUUAAGAACACAAAUAACCUAUAAAUUUGCAGCUUAUGAUACAGAUUACCAAAAAAAAAAAAAAAUCAACAACCAAGUAAGAGAAAGAAUCAUCAAAUAAGUAAGAAUUAUAAAUCCAACGAACCUAGAAAGUAGAAAAGAAAAAUUUUAAGCUCGUUAAAUUAUUAGAUAUUGUAUAUAUCUAAGCCAUUAUCUUAGUGAAAAUUCAAAGAGCUUCUACCAUGCUCCUCGUACUCACCACAUAAAGUGUUGCCUCCUAUACAAAUUAUCAAAACCAAAAUCAUCAAAAUCUCCGAAAAAAAAAAACAAAGAGAUAGCCAGCCUAAAAAAUGGAAGAAAGAAAGAAAAAUAAGAAAAUAUGUAUAUUCACCCUUGCAAGUUAAAGUUGUUCAAUAUUGAGAGUCUGAGGCUUAUUUUCAACAGAUGAUGUCCUAUCCAAAGAAAGUAUCGUUACUCCCUCCAUUCUUGAACACUUUUAAUCUAUCAAUUAAACAAUCAUCUGAAUUGCAACAAAAAGAACAGGAUCCAAUAUGAAAUCCUAAUUAGGAGAAAUGGUAGUAUAUAUAAACCAAGGUCAUGGUGGGCUAGAGUUGAAUAAAAAUUAUGUGUCAUGAAUAUAGACCUAUUAAUGUAAACAAAAAAGCCACUGAAUAUACAAAAAAGAUUAAUUCAAUUUUACAUUGGUUGGAAAAUAUUUUUAAAUAUGUUUGAAUGCUCAUUCAAGUCUAGCAAACAAAAGAAAAUAACAAACCCGUUUUAUAAUUGUCUUUCUUUAUUUCUUUCUUCUAAAAGAUUGUUAAAUGUGAAUUACUAGCAAACAGAAAUUGUCAAAAAAAUGGAAAUUGUCAAUUGCUUGUCUUAGAGAAGUAAAGUGACUAAUAAGCAAGGCUACACAUUACAUAUAUAGCUAUAUAUGCCUUUUAGUUCUACCUAAUUUUAGGUAUUACUUAUUGAUUCAUGCUACAUUAAGAAUGUUAAAUAAUCAUGCCUAAUUUUAGGCAUUACUUACUGACUAAUGCUAUAUUAAGAAUGUAAGAUAACCUGAUUUCAAAGUCAUGUUUAUUUGUACAAUUAAGAAAAAACACACACUCGCACACAUGGCUGUAUAUCUAACAAAGAAAAAAAAACACACAAAUAUAGCAGCAACAUAAUGAGUCUCAGCUACCUGACGUAUGACGUCAGGGCUAAAAAACUAGUGUUAUAGUAAUUUGGCAAAGAACAUGUGAAUGAAGAGGACCAAUGUAGCAACAAACUCAAGUUUCAACGAAAAUUUUGAAUUUUCAUAUUGAUUUUACUUAGCAAACAACAAUUUUUCCUGUCAUUUAAAUAUCUUAUAUAGGGUUAUUUCUUUAGAAAGAAUUUUAAAAAAUAAACUAAUUUGUGCCGCAACUAAGAAAUAUUUCUAAGUCUUUAAACUUCUUAAUUUAACAGACAAAUAAUAAUUACUGAAUUUCAUGUAAUUGUAAAGACUUUUGAUACUUUUCGAUGAUAAUAACGUUGCCAAAGACUUUAUCUUAAAAUUUAAAUUGAUUGUACGCAUAUGUAGUUAUAUGACUGGCCUCCCAAUCCCAGUCUGGGCCACAUCAACUCUGCCCCUUUUGGGCUGUUAACCAUCUUUUUUUUUUCUUUUUUUUUUUUGGGUAUGAAACGAUAAAUACUAUUGUUGACAAUUGACAACGCAUUAAAGAAGAAGCCAAGUCCACAAGGGAACAAUUGAAAACCAUCGAUUGAACGGUCUAAAAUGAAAUGAGUAAAACCCAAUGACAUGAAAUGAGUAAAACCCAAUGACCACACCCCGGGUGCUGCUGCAUGGCUUGAUCUAGAGGAUCGUGAGCAGCUCAAAUACGAGCUCGGUCAAUCGCGAGCGGCUCGAAUACAAAUUCGAUCAAUAUCAAACUCGAGCUAAUCAAGUUGAACUUGAAUACAAAAAUAUUAAAUUCACCGCUCACGAGCUUGAUUAUAUAUUUUUUUAUUUUUUAUUUUAAUAGUAAAAUUCCAUAUUUAUCUCUAAUAUUUUAUUAUUUGUUAAGAAAAAUUUUUAUUUUUUAUUUUUAAAAAUAAAAUAAUUAUUUUUUUAUUUUUUAAGCUCAAGCUUGAACUUGACAUUUUGAACUCUUCGAAUUCAAGUUCGAAUUUGAGUUUCAUAAAAUUAACUUGAGACUUGACUCGAUUAGACCAAAACUCGAGUCGAUUAGGUUCGUUUGCACCCUUAAUCAUAGCUAUAAGAGGUCCAUUGAUUACAGUCAAUAAGCUAACAUUAAUUAUUCUGUUCUUAUAGGAGGCUAUUUGAAAUAUUAUUUAGAAUAAGUAUUAUAAUUAGAGCUGCAAACGAAUCGAGCCACUCGCGAGCGGCUCAAGUCGAGUUUUAGCUGGCUCGAGUCAAAAACGAGCUCGAAGUAGAGCUUAAAAUAUUAAGCUCGUUAGCUCGCGAGCUGGCUCGUGAGUUCGAAUAUGUAUAUAUAUAUAUUUAAAUUUUUGUAUUUUUAGUAUAUAUAUAUUUUAUAUUUUUUAAUUUUAAUAAUAAAAUUACAUAUAUAUCCUUAAUAUUUUAUUAUUUAUUAAGAAAAAAUAUUAUUUUAUUUAUUUUUAUUUUUUCGAGCUUGGCUCGAAUCAAGUCGAGCUCGAACUCGAACUCGAGUUCAAGCUUGAAAUUGUCAGCUCGUUGAGCUCGAGCUCGAGUUCGAGAAAAAUUAUGUCGAGGCUCGGCUCGAUUAGGCCAAAUCUCGACUCAGUUCGGCUAGUUUGCAGUCCUAAUUAUAAUACUUAUUUGCAAUGUGAUGUAUAUAAAAUAAAAUAAGAAGAUAAAAAGUGUGACGAAAAAUGCGUUUGUGAUGUAGAUAAAUAAUUUUUUAGCAAAUAAUUCCUAUCUGAACACAUAAAAUUUAUUUUAUUUUUUUACUACAACAAGCUAACAUAAUUUAAAACUUAACAAGUAGUAAAAGUGACACAAUAUCAAUAUGAUAAAUUGCCAGCACUAUACAACUCACUCGAGUAAGCAUUUAGUGCAAUAGUGUCCCUAGUUGUCCAACUUCAACUCCAUUUUUCCCUCAUUCCAUAUACUUCACGCACAACUUACCCUACCUCCACUCCUGCCCCCCCCCCCCCCCCCCCCGCGGAGCCAAAAAUGAUCAUUCUUCCUCUUCCUUUAGCUCUCGGAACUCAGCUCCGGAGGACCACUAACACUAUCACCCUCUUUUCGUGACAGAAAUAAAGAUCAAUCUUUUUAUUUGACAGAGACCAUACAUCCAGCGAAAGCUAAAAUGAAUAGAUAAGCUCAAAACGUCUUGGCUCGGGCUGCAAUCAAAUCGUCGGACAUUGUUUCCACUUUAGUUUUCAUUUCUCAGCACCAGUUUGUAACAAUUUUGCUUUUUCGGGAUACUCAAAAAGGUAUGUAUGUAGGGAUGCCACAGAAGGAUAUGAACUCCCGCGGCAUUUUCCACCCGCAUGAAAAAAGAAAAGCUCCAGAGCCGACUAUACUCGCCCAGCUUUGACACCUUUCCGUUAUCAAUCCAUCUGGCAAUUGAGUUUAAUAUGAUGGUUCAAAUACUGUGAUUCGUGUAAACUAAUCCACUAAUAUAACGCCGGCCUAUCAUUCGAUAGUAAGAACCCGUUUGAAUUGCUAUUUUCUGAAUUUUUGGGAAAAAUGGCAAUUCAAACAAGUGCUAACUUAGCGCUUCCCUUGAAAAUAAGCUGGGUGCUUAGAAGAAGUGAUGGCCUAAUGAAUAUCCCCGGGGCCGCCCCCAGUUAGGUAACAAUUGCCGAAGUAGGACUACACAACUUCAAAAUACCUUUAAGACGCAACCUCAAGUCUUGGCUUGACUACUCUAGAGGGUCAAAGCAAAAUUUUUUAAGUAACAAAAUACUUUGUAAACAAAAGAAGUAUUUCUGCUAGCAAUUUCAUCAAGUAUUUAGUAAUCUAGAGCAGCAGUCGAGACGCUUCGUCUCAACAAAAGUUUUCAGGCCGAAAGCGGGUAAGAUCACCAGUCAGGCUAAGCAUGAAAGAUGAGAGGUUAUUAUUUAUUAUCAAUAAAAAAAUAUGCCAGAAACAAUGAAAAUUUCUUGGUUCCUUCAAUGAUUGGGAGCUAUACUCAGGAAUGGUACAUGGAGCACCAAACGAAUCUAGUAUUCGAGAGGCGGAUGAGAAUAUCAUUUCAGAUAUAAUUGAUCUGCAGCAUUCUGGUAGAGAAAAUUGAACUCUGAAAAAAAAUGAUGUUAUAUUUUUUUGAAGGAAAACGGGGCCAGCGUAUCUUUCAAUUUGGUUGUGACCCAAAAGAAAAAAGUAUCUUUCAUUUUGGGAAUGACCUUACAAGAAAACUAACCAAAAAAUAAAAAAUAAAAUAAAAAUAAAUGAGAUUGACAAACCGAAGGAAUAUCUUUAAGCAUUAAACUGGAAUUCAACAUAUAUAAAGAACAAGAAAUUUGGAUUCCACGCCAGCAAACCACUGCAAUAUAGAUUGAAUGCGACCAAGGAAAUCAAAGAACAAAAAAUAAUCACCCUAAGAGCACACAUAUAUGACCGAAUAAAAUCCCAUGGAUGACAGACACCAAUAUACACUUGCAGCCAAUAGGAGGGGAAGACAAUAUUAAGGGACAAAAC
rnacentral:lncRNA from 1 species